AAUUCAGUAUGUGACGGUCAACAGUGAUUAUCCACUUAAGUUAAUUUAAGCAAAUAAAGUAUAUUGUUAUAAUUCUUCGUAUAUUCCUGCGGGAACUAUUAAUCGGAAUUAAAACUUUCGUUAAAAUUUAUAAAAAAAUAUUCGUAACAUGGGUGCGAAAUGGCAAGAAAUGGAUAAUUUAUUUGGUGCUUUUAUACGAAAAUUACGAAAAUAUAUUAAAAUUCGACGAACAGUUCGAGGGCGGGGAUAUACAAAAUUUUUGUCGGAAGAUGAAAGAAGAGUAAUUGAUGAUUUUUAUACAAGUGAACAAAGGAAUACUCUUCGAAAAUUUAUUCCAUACGGUCAUACAUUCGGAUACGAUUAGAUUAUACAACGUACAAAAAUUUAUUUUAUAAGAUUAUUAUUAUAAAAAAUUGUUUUUAUAUAAAUUUUAACGCGAAGUAUUUUGAUGUUAAAAGCAUGGAUUCCAUUACUGAAAUUAUUCAAUCAAGAUUAUUGGUAGCUCAUCGUAGAAUGAAGUCGGAAUAUGUUUGAGAUUUUCCGCUCAUUGGCAGUCUAUCGUUAAUCUAAUUGAACAAAAAUAAUUUUGCAACUCUAUUCUGAAAGAAUGAAAAAUUUUUUAAGCCUGUGUCUAGACAAAGACGCAUUUCCAAACAUCAUUUAAAUUAAUGGAAUCCUAUUGCUUAAAGUUGUUCAUAUUAAAGCUCUCUAUUAAAGUUUAAGACUGAUUAUAGAUAUAAGUUGUUGUUUUAUCUUUUAUUAAUUUAUGUAAAUAGUUUAUCUUUUGGAUAUGAUGCAUAUCCUAUUAAAUUUUAAGAGAAA